CGACCGGCGCACGGGUGAGUAACACGUAUGAAACCUGCCCGUAGCAGGGGGAUAAGCGGAAGAAAUUCCGUCUAAUACCGCGUAACAACCCGAGGAGGCAUCUCUGUGGGUUUAAAGGAAGCGAUUCCGGCUACGGAUGGUCAUGCGUCGCAUUAGCUUGUUGGCGGGGUAACGGCCCACCAAGGCGACGAUCAGUAGCCGGCCUGAGAGGGCGGACGGCCACAUUGGGACUGAGACACGGCCCAGACUCCUACGGAAGGCAGCAG
rnacentral:rRNA from 1 species